rnacentral:rRNA from 1 species
AACUGCCGCGUCCCCUUCGCCACAUUUCUCGAGCACGCCAACCAACAUCCCCAGCUCAACGAGCGCAGCAUCCGGUUCAUGACGCGGUUGAUGGAGCGCUCGGGGAUCGGUGAGCAGACCUGUCUGGCCCCGGCGCACCACUACGUUGGGACGCACAAAUAUUGCAGCGUUGACGCCGCCCGCGCAGAGUUCGAGCUUGUGGCUUUCUCAGCCAUCGACGACCUGCUCGCCAAGACCGGCAUCGCCCCCGACGCCAUCGACAUACUCAUCGUCAACUGCAGCUUGUUCUGUCCCACGCCCUCGUUGGUCGACAUGAUCAUAAACAAGUACAAGCUGCGGAGCGACAUCCGUGGCAUGCACCUCGCCGGCAUGGGAUGCAGCGCGGGGAUGAUCUCCGUGGGGCUCGCGAGGGAACUCCUCCAGGUCGCUCCCCAGGGCGCGCACGCACUGGUCGUCUCGACGGAGACAAUCACGCCAAACUACUACCUCGGGGCCGAGCGCGCAAUGCUCCUGCCCAACUGCCUCUUCCGCAUAGGCGGGGCGGCCGCGCUGCUGUCGACAUCGUCGGCAAAGGCCCGGUUCCGCCUGAAGCACGUCGUGCGCACGCUCACCGGCGCUGAGGACAGUUCGUACCAGUGUGUGUUUCAGGAGGAGGACGGAGAGGGCCACCGGGGGAUCAACCUCAACAAGGACCUGAUGAACAUCGCCGGCAACUCGCUCAAGGCCAACAUCACCGCAAUUGGGCCACUCGUCCUGCCGGCCAGGGAGCAGCUUAUGUUCGUCUUCUCCUUCAUCGCACGGAAGGUGAUCGGCAAGAGAGUGAAGCCGUACAUCCCCGACUUCCGCAGGGCGUUUGAGCACUUCUGCAUCCACGCCGGUGGCCGCGCGGUCAUUGACGAUCUGCAGAAGAGCCUUAGCCUUUCCGACGAGCAGGUGGAGGCAUCACGCAUGACGCUGCACCGGUUUGGAAACAAGUCGAGUAGCUCGCUUUGGUACGAGCUGGCCUACAUCGAGGCCAAGGGCCGCAUGCGCAAGGGCGACCGCGUGUGGAUGAUCGGCUUCGGAUCUGGAUUCAAGUGCAACAGUGCGGCGUGGGAGUGCAUCGAGCCUGCGCGCAACGUCCAUGGGCCGUGGGCAACGUCCAUCCACAGAUAUCCGGUGGAUGUUCCUGAUGUUCUCAAGCAUUAA